rnacentral:rRNA from 1 species
AGGGAAUCUUCCACAAUGGACGCAAGUCUGAUGGAGCAACGCCGCGUGAGUGAAGAAGGUCUUCGGAUCGUAAAACUCUGUUGUUAGAGAAGAACACGAGUGAGAGUAACUGUUCAUUCGAUGACGGUAUCUAACCAGCAAGUCACGGCUAACUACGUGCCAGCAGCCGCGGUAAUACGUAGGUGGCAAGCGUUGUCCGGAUUUAUUGGGCGUAAAGGGAACGCAGGCGGUCUUUUAAGUCUGAUGUGAAAGCCUUCGGCUUAACCGGAGUAGUGCAUUGGAAACUGGAAGACUUGAGUGCAGAAGAGGAGAGUGGAACUCCAUGUGUAGCGGUGAAAUGCGUAGAUAUAUGGAAGAACACCAGUGGCGAAAGCGGCUCUCUGGUCUGUAACUGACGCUGAGGUUCGAAAGCGUGGGUAGCAAAC